rnacentral:rRNA from 1 species
CAGUCGCCACGGUAAUACAGAGGGUGCGAGCGUUAAUCGGAUUUACUGGGCGUAAAGCGUGCGUAGGCGGCUUCUUAAGUCGGAUGUGAAAUCCCUGAGCUUAACUUAGGAAUUGCAUUCGAUACUGGGAAGCUAGAGUAUGGGAGAGGAUGGUAGAAUUCCAGGUGUAGCGGUGAAAUGCGUAGAGAUCUGGAGGAAUACCGAUGGCGAAGGCAGCCAUCUGGCCUAAUACUGACGCUGAGGUACGAAAGCAUGGGGAGCAAACAGGAUUAGAUACCCCUGUGUCCCUGUCUCUUAUACA